GUAGUCUCGCACAGAUGCAUAUCAAUAAGCGGAGGAAAAGAAACUAACAAGGAUUCCCCUAGUAACGGCGAGUGAAGCGGGAAGAGCUCAAAUUUGAAAUCUUAAAGGGUUUCCCUUUACGAAUUGUAGUUUAAAGAAGUGUUUUCUGUUGAGGUUUUGGUAAAAGUUCUUUGGAAUAGGACAUCAUAGAGGGUGAGAAUCCCGUAUUUGACCUUUACUUUCAACUUUGUGAUACACUUUCAAAGAGUCGGAUUGUUUGGGAAUGCAGUCCAAAAUGGGUGGUAAAUUUCAUCUAAAGCUAAAUAUUGGCGAGAGACCGGAUAGCGAACAAGUACCGUGAGGGAAAGAUGAAAAGAACUUUGAAAAGAGAGUUAAACAGUACGUGAAAUUGUCAAAAGGGAAGCGUUUGACACCAGUGUUGUUUUUCUGAAAAUCAAUUAAAGAACUGUUUAUGCUAAGCUGUUUAGACUUUAUCAGCUAACUGUUUAGUUUUGAGCUUUUCCUUAAUGCACUUUUCAGUUAACAAGUCAACAUCAAUUUCUUUUGCUGUAAAAAAGCUUGAGGAAGGUGGCUUGAGAUUCGUCUUAAGUGUUUAUAGCCUCUUGCCUAUGCAGUCGGAGAGAUUGAGGUCUGCAGCGUAGAUCCUUCGGGGCUAAAUGCAUUUGUGCUAAGUUAUAGCAUUUUAUAGACAACUUGUUGACUAUGAUUUGUCCUGUAGCUUACUCGCUUAUGUUAUUUUACCUACGCUUAGGAUGUUGAUCUGUAGUGCGUGCGC
rnacentral:rRNA from 1 species